UACGUAGGGUGCGAGCGUUGUCCGGAAUUAUUGGGCGUAAAGAGCUCGUAGGCGGUGUGUCGCGUCGGCCGUGAAACCUGGGCUUAACUCUGGGCGUGCGGUCGAUACGGGCAUCACUGAGAGUUCGGGCAGGGGAGACUGGAAUUCCGUGGUGUAGCGGUGAAAUGCGCAGAUAUCAGGAGGAACACCGGUGGCGAAGGCGGGUCUCUGGGCCGAUACUGACGCUGAGGAGCGAAAGCAUGGGUAGCGAACAGG
rnacentral:rRNA from 1 species